CACGUAGUUAGCCGUGACUUUCUGGCGGGGCACCAUCUGUCAUCUACCAUUUCCUGCAGAUGCUUUUUUCCCCCGCAACAGAGCUUUACGACCCGAAGGCCUUCUUCACUCACGCGGCAUCGCUCGUUCAGGCUUGCGCCCAUUGACGAAAAUUCCCUACUGCUGCCUCCCGCAGGAGUCUGGGCCGUGUCUCAAGUCCCAAUGUGGCCGUCCGCCCUCUCAGGCCGGCUAUGCAUCAUCGUCUUGGUGGGCCUUUACCUCGCCAACCAACUAAUGCACCGCAGGUCCAUCCGCGCCCCAUCCCUUACAGGAUGUUUCACAGAAAGAGAUGCCUCCUUCCUGUACAUCGGGAUUUGUUCUCCGUUUCCAGAGCGUAUUCCCGGUGCGCGGGCAGGUUCCCUACGUGUUACUCACCCGCUCGCCACUAGGAUCCCGAAGGAUCCUCGUUCGACUUGCAUGUAUUAGGCAUGCCGCCAGCCGUUCACUCCUGA
rnacentral:rRNA from 1 species